rnacentral:hammerhead_ribozyme from 1 species
GUCUAGCUGACGAGUCUCAAAUAAGACGAAACACGCGUCAAACUGGAU